GCCCAGCCUUGCUGCCCUGCUGGAGCCUGCCCUCUCAUGUGUAUGCAGAUGGUGGCUACAAGAGGAACCCAGAAGAGCCGUUUUGGAGAGAGGAACGACCUCUUAGACUACAAAGCCUGCCUGUGACGCUUGGCUCUGUGUUGUAGCCACCAUGUCCUGAUGGGAGCUCUGCUGAACAAGAGAAUGCCCUUAGGUACUCCUGAGAAAAGGCUCUGGAGGAAGUAUCAGAGCAGCUGAGGAAACACGAGGUCGGACUGCAUAAAGUCUCUGAGAACCUCUGCAGAAAGGAACCUCUAGACUUUGACUAACUCACCUGGUUUCAACUGAAAUUUAAUUUUUUUAUUUUUGCCUAUAGAGUCAC
rnacentral:lncRNA from 1 species